rnacentral:tRNA from 1 species
GCCAAAGUAGCUCAGUGGUAGAGCAGAGGCCUGAAAAGCCUUGUGUCGGCAGUUCGAUCCUGCCCUUUGGCA